rnacentral:rRNA from 1 species
UACGGGGGGGGCAAGCGUUGUUCGGAAUUACUGGGCGUAAAGCGCGCGUAGGUGGUUUGUUAAGUUGAAUGUGAAAUCCCCGGGCUCAACCUGGGAACUGCAUGCAAAACUGGCAAGCUAGAGUAUGGUAGAGGGUGGUGGAAUUUCCUGUGUAGCGGUGAAAUUCGUAGAUAUCGGGAGGAACACCGGUGGCGAAGGCGGCGACCUGGUUCGAUACUGACACUGAGGUGCGAAAGCGUGGGGAGCAAACAGG